rnacentral:tRNA from 1 species
AACGGUAUAGCUCAGUUGGUAGAGCGUCAGCAUAAAUGUUGAAAGUCGGCGGUUCGAGUCCGUUUACCGUUCCA